rnacentral:sRNA from 1 species
AUUCAACGAAGUUAAACGGUAUCCUUUUGCUUUUUUCUUUAAAAGCAAAAGAUAUAGUGGACAGCAGGAUUAGCU